AUGAUGUACCAUGAAGGGACCACCAACAAGCUCAGCACGCCAGAGCUAGCAUUUGCCCACAUCGUCAACUCUGUGGAGGCCACGAUCAGUGUGGAAGUCGUUUAUGGGGAUUGGCCGCGUGGCUUUCGAGGAGUUUUCACCGCCAACACCGCCAGCAUGGAUCACAUGAAAGUCACGUUGCUUGCAUUUGAAGACGGUAAAUUACUACCAAUGGACGGCCAUAGCAAUGUGGUCAAGCUUUCACGCCGCGUUGUCUGCGUCGAACUCCGUCGGCCAAAGAUGGCCAAGGUGAAGAAGCCAAAGCUCAAGAUUUCAGCGCAAGCUAUGCGUAUCAACAGGGAAAAUGAUGUAUGGAGAAAUGCUGUAGCUUUUACACCCGAGAAAGCAGGUAGAAGCCUGGGGACACUUAAAGUUGGCUCCUGUGAGAUGCAGGUGACCGUGGCAUGGUCCCUUCUCUCCACCUUCAAAUUUAGCUACGAUAGACGAUUACUAGAAGAGUAA
rnacentral:rRNA from 1 species